rnacentral:rRNA from 1 species
UAGGGAAUCUUCCACAAUGGACGAAAGUCUGAUGGAGCAACGCCGCGUGAGCGAAGAAGGUUUUCGGAUCGUAAAGCUCUGUUGCUGGAGAAGAACGAGUGCGAGAGGAAAUGCUCGUACUGUGACGGUAUCCAGCCAGAAAGCCACGGCUAACUACGUGCCAGCAGCCGCGGUAAUACGUAGGUGGCAAGCGUUGUCCGGAAUUAUUGGGCGUAAAGCGCGCGCAGGCGGCUUCUUAAGUCUGAUGUGAAAUCUUGCGGCUCAACCGCAAACGGUCAUUGGAAACUGGGAAGCUUGAGUGCAGAAGAGGAGAGUAGAAUUCCACGUGUAGCGGUGAAAUGCGUAGAUAUGUGGAGGAAUACCAGUGGCGAAGGCGGCUCUCUGGUCUGUAACUGACGCUGAGGCGCGAAAGCGUGGGGAGCAAACAGGAUUAGAUACCCUGGUAGUCCACGCCGUAAACGAUGGAUGCUAGCCGUUGGUGGGUUUACCCUUCAGUGGCGCAGCUAACGCAUUAAGCAUCCCGCCUGGGGAGUACGGUCGCAAGAUUA